AAAAACUUUAAUUGAUUUGGUUGUGUUUGGGCCAUUUUUUAGGCAAACCAAACCGCAUUAUGUUACAACUCAAAUUUCACUUAUCACACAUUCAACCAAAAACCCAAGCCUAUUAUACUUUAACCUUACAAAUAUUCUCUUACUCACCCUUAGGAUUUUAGUUUCAACCUUCUCAAAUCUCUCAUAGUAGUAUCGCACAUUCUUCUCAUCUUCAUUUCCAUAUAUGUCUCACCUUCUACUCUAAUCUUAUUUUCU
rnacentral:lncRNA from 1 species